rnacentral:rRNA from 1 species
AGUUUUUCUUUUUUUUCUUCCCCAUAUGCUCGAAUUAUUGGUAUGCACCUUCCUCCUAAUGGCAAUGCAUUAAUGAUCUACUAUGUCCAGAUGGAAGCACUAUCUAUUUAUAUGCCACAGGCGACAACAGUUGGUUUCGCCUCUUGGGUCCGACGACACUGAUAUUUCAAGCAAUUGGAUUUGCAUGGCUUUUCUUCAUGCUUCUGCAAGAAUGGCGUGAUAAAAGAAGAGCCUCCAUGAUGCAUUGUAGCUCUCUUCCAUCUGGAGAUCAGUAGCUGAUAGAUUUGGUCAGACUACUGGACAUCAGCAUAUUCCCAACAAGAGGCAACACUAAAAUCGAACUCUAAAGCAACAGUGACAUGACUACCUGAAUCGUGAUUUGAUGGUUUUUUCUUUUUGGUGGGAGUGGUUUAAUAUUGUCCUCCAAUUUAAAUGUUCGCAUUGGUUACGAAUAAUUUGCAAGGUCCACUUCAUUCGUUGUGUUGCUUUCAUCCGAUCGACUCCUUCAUUGCUCCAAGUAUGUAUGUAAUUCCAACUUGAUAGAAACAGACUACCAGUUAUGGCACUUAUUAAGUGAACACUCCUCACUAAUUCAUCGUUAAACUCUUAAACCUUGGGUAGGUAAUUGUUUUAUGUCAUGGGAUCAUUUCUCACAAAUAGGUUGGAAUGCAAAACGCAGGAGAUAUCACUAUGUAAAGUUCAUACAAAAGCGGGGGCUGUAAAAUGAAGUUCUAAAGAAAGGAGGCAAUAAAGUCACCAUUGACAAUUUUACCAGAACGAGUGGAGUUGGUGGAUCGUCACCCCACUAGGUGGAAUCGCGCGCUUCACUGCGCGCGGAUAUUAUAGCACUGAUAUUACCAAAUUUGAAGAAAUUAGGCCACAAGCUCCUUAGUUUAAUCCAUGUUCGAUUACAAAGUGGUAUUUUCCACGGGCUACAGCAGAAGUUUGCGUGAGUUGUUAAGCAAGAAACAUAUAGCUUGCAAAAAAGCCUUAUAUUAUGGGACAUAGGGAGUACUACCUCCAUCCGGGUUUAUUGGUCCCCU